AGACGCGACAGAAAUGUUAGAAAACAACACUUUGGUGUCGUCUGUCUGUCGAUCUGACUCCAUCAAUUUGCCUAUCAUGUCUUUGUCCACACAAUAUGAAAGUUAGAAAAUGUCAAUUUUAUUGUUAAAUAAAUAAGUAUUGAUUCCUUUGCCAUGCAGACAAAUAUGGCUCCCAGUUUGACUGGCGCCGUGUGCAAUCAACCAAUGAGCAAUCCACCAAUCUGUGCCACCAUAGGCUGAUAAAAUGUCAAAACAUGUCAGGGACAAGACUGGUAUGGGUUAAUUAAAAAACAAAAAACAAACAGCAUUUUAAAUAGCACACUAUGACAUCGUACUUCAUAAAACAUUCAGUAUUGCUAAAUAAAUAGAAUGACAUUUAAAUGAGCAGUUUUUUUUUUGUCGCACUGCAUCAAUUAAAUGACCAUGGCCACCUGGGAGCAGUCUAAGACUGACGGGCAAAUGUACUUGAGAUUCGACGUCUCAACUCCUCUCAGAUCAUCAGUAUGACUCUAAUAUUAGUCAUUCUUAGCAGAAGAUGAAGAAUACGCAUGUAUACUGCCUCAAGACUCUGCCCUUCACAUGCGCACACACAAGUAUGAUUGAUCCAGUCAAUAUGCUGUGCCUACACAUCGGUGGCCGAUACAGUAAAGAAGAAAGCGAGAGUGGUGAUGCGCAUCCGACCCUCAAGCAUGACAUUACAGCCAGGCACUCAUAUAAGCAAACAACAGGCGGAAAAGAGAUUCAGCUGGCAAGUCCUCCCGUGUCUCCGAGCGUACAGUGUCAAGAGCGUGGAAGAUGUUUUAUCUUGAAUGAGAUAAGCGAUGGAUGGAUGGAUGCUUUGGACGUGCAGCAGACAUUAAAAGUCCAGCCUUAAACGCUACAAGAGGUGAGUGAUGAAAUGUGUUGGAUGAAAUUAGGGCGAAGCUAGGCUUUAAAGCAAAGUGACGAUGAGGGGUCGGGUGGGGUGGGGGGGGCAAGAUGUCGGGGACCCUCUGGUCUCUGCCGUCCUGUGUGACGGAGCAUCCGUGCCAUCAGCUGCGGGGACAAAAGAAGGGAAUCUCUUGUGUCACAAUAUGGCUCGUGGGCUUUAAACUGCCCAUCUGUUUGUGUGACACUCACUCGGCGUAGCUGACACACAACUUACAGUGACAAGCGCGCACGCGCUCGCACGCACACACACACGCACGCACGGGCGCGCUCGCACCGAUGCAGCGAAGACAUAAAAUGCAAAAACAGUCUGUGGCAGAAAGUGGUCGCACGCUGACGGCCGUUUUGCAGACGCAGUGAGGUAAAAGUAAUGCUGGGAGAAAACGGAAGGAGCGCGACCCUGAAUAGAUGCUCGAUAAUCUUUCCGUUUUUCUUGUGCUUUUAGCCACUUUAUUUGUUCAGUCUUAGAAAAAAAAGCAAUGAUUCCAUCAACUAAAUAGUUGCUGGGGGCCCGCGGCGGUUUCUGGCGUGUGCAUCACGUGUGGCUCGGCUGCAAAUUGCGAGGUGAAAUGGUUUUCUCGUGCGUGAUGACAGGAUGGGGAAUUUGCACCCCCUGGUGGAGUCGCAAACGUGUCUCAGGAAAGUUGGUCUUAGCAUCAUAAGCAUCAACCAAACAGUUGGGGCGCAAAUAGGUUAGCAUACAAUUUUACAUAUUUUUAUUAUACAUAAGGCAACAUUUUUGAAAUAAUUCAAUAAUCUAACGCUGGUAAACAAAGGUAAAAUGAUUGCAAUACGGUUCUGCAUUUUUUUCUCGUUGUCAUAUUACUUUUUGCUGUUGCUGUAUUUUUAUUUGUUUGUAGCUCAACAUAUUUUAAGCAAAUAUAAGGUCCAUUCCUGUUUUUGUUAAAUGUGUGUGUGUGUGUGUGUGUGUGUAGGGAUGGGCAUACAAAGUAAGGCAUCUCACGCAGGGGGCCAUUCAAGCCAAGGCCGCCACUGUUUGGGAUGCUUAUUCACUCAACUUCAAUUUGAGUUGUGUUUACUUGUAAUACACUUAUUUUAUUAUCUAUAUUUUGGUAACAAUGUUAUCCAUAAAUUUGGAACUAUUAUACUAUUUGGUUUGCGAACAAUUUGUUGAAGAAAAAUAGCCUUGCACUAUUUCCGGUUCCCAAACAGUCUUUGCACGGCAGCGGAAGGCUCAAAUGUGCUUAAUCACGUGCCAUGUAAACAUAAUUUGUGCCAGGCGUCACACAUUGCAGGGAUUUUUUUUGUUCUACGUUCGCCCUCAGGAGUCUUUCACCUUUGGCCAUGUUAAAAGAGCUUCGGUGUAAAUCCUCUUCCAUUUCUUGCAUUUUAACACGCUACUUUUGAACUCAAUACGUUUAUUGCUUUUCCCGCCAUAUCUGUCACUUUUGGAAGCUCGACCGACAGCGGCUCUUGACGAGACGUCAUUGCUGUCUUUUAUGCUCGCGACGCCUUUCAGCGGAAUCCCGCUCUCACUUGCUGCAGAAGUGCAUGCCCCCUCCCCUUCCUCUUCCUUUUGUAUAUUUGUGAAGACUAGUUUCAUUUUUCUCAGUUAAUGGGCCAUGUAGGCUGUCGUGCUCAUUGUUGGGGCAUCUGUGUGAAGUGACUUUGAAAACUUCUGUCUUCACAAAGAUGAAUUGUGCGGCUCGGAAGAAGGGAAAAAAAAAGUGGGGAUGAAUCCAUUGACGGUGACUUCUUUGAUAGACUAUAGACGCAUACUGUUACAUACGAAGAAGAUGCGACACAGGGGACAAAUUGAUACAUUUUCCAAUGGGGAGUGACAAUGACACCAUUGACAAGUGCAGAUGUUAUGCCAUGGCAACCAGCGUGAUGAUGAAAACAUGUCCUCAGGGUUAUAGGGGUGCAAGCAUGAGGGUCCAAGGUUAGAAAACAGGCGCCGCUGUGCUCUAUCUAGUUGUGCUACACCUUUGUGUGACACACAAUGAUGUCACUGACAGUACCACGCAGCUUUAGAAACAUUACAUAAAAAGUCAAGGUUUGGACAACAAUGGCGGCAUUGAUGACAUGAGCGCGAUCAAGAGGCCAUUUUGCUCGCAUUGGGUGUGUAAGAAUGACUUGCUGCUGGCGUGUGUACAUUUGACACACCGAUAAGUUGUCACACUGGAACGUGACUGCAGGAAUGUUCUAUCUUUGAGAGCGUGAUGAAAACACUCUCUGCCAGAAAGCAUUUAAGUGGUUGCUACCCACCCACAAGAAGAUCCAUAAUUAUAGUCAUAAUGCCAAUGUCUGGUGCACACAUUUUGUUUUUGCCGCAUGCUAAAAAUGAAGAAGGAAUGUUAAGCCAGC